GACGAACGCUGGCGGCGUGCUUAACACAUGCAAGUCGAACGGAAAGGCCCUGCUUUUGUGGGGUGCUCGAGUGGCGAACUGGUGAGUAACACGUGAGUAACCUGCCCUUGACUUUGGGAUAACUUCAGGAAACUGGGGCUAAUACCGGAUAGGAGCUCCUGCUGCAUGGUGGGGGUUGGAAAGUUUCGGCGGUUGGGGAUGGACUCGCGGCCUAUCAGCUUGUUAGUGGGGUAGUGGCUUACCAAGGCUUUGACGGGUAGCCGGCCUGAGAGGGUGACCGGCCACAUUGGGACUGAGAUACGGCCCAGACUCCUACGGGAGGCAGCAGUGGGGAAUAUUGCACAAUGGGCGGAAGCCUGAUGCAGCAACGCCGCGUGCGGGAUGACGGCCUUCGGGUUGUAAACCGCUUUCGCCUGUGACGAAGCGUGAGUGACGGUAAUGGGUAAAGAAGCACCGGCUAACUACGUG
rnacentral:rRNA from 1 species